rnacentral:rRNA from 1 species
GGGUUGUGAGGUUAAGCGACUAAGCGUACACGGUGGAUGCCCUGGCAGUCAGAGGCGAUGAAGGACGUGCUAAUCUGCGAUAAGCGUCGGUGAGGUGAUAUGAACCGUUAUAACCGGCGAUUUCCGAAUGGGGAAACCCAGUGUGUUUCGACACACUAUCAUUAACUGAAUCCAUAGGUUAAUGAGGCGAACCGGGGGAACUGAAACAUCUAAGUACCCCGAGGAAAAGAAAUCAACCGAGAUUCCCCCAGUAGCGGCGAGCGAACGGGGAGGAGCCCAGAGCCUGAAUCAGUGUGUGUGUUAGUGGAAGCGUCUGGAAAGGCGCGCGAUACAGGGUGACAGCCCCGUACACAAAAAUGCACAUAUUGUGAGCUCGAUGAGUAGGGCGGGACACGUGGUAUCCUGUCUGAAUAUGGGGGGACCAUCCUCCAAGGCUAAAUACUCCUGACUGACCGAUAGUGAACCAGUACCGUGAGGGAAAGGCGAAAAGAACCCCGGCGAGGGGAGUGAAAAAGAACCUGAAACCGUGUACGUACAAGCAGUGGGAGCCUCUUUAUGGGGUGACUGCGUACCUUUUGUAUAAUGGGUCAGCGACUUAUAUUCUGUAGCAAGGUUAACCGAAUAGGGGAGCCGAAGGGAAACCGAGUCUUAACUGGGCGUUAAGUUGCAGGGUAUAGACCCGAAACCCGGUGAUCUAGCCAUGGGCAGGUUGAAGGUUGGGUAACACUAACUGGAGGACCGAACCGACUAAUGUUGAAAAAUUAGCGGAUGACUUGUGGCUGGGGGUGAAAGGCCAAUCAAACCGGGAGAUAGCUGGUUCUCCCCGAAAGCUAUUUAGGUAGCGCCUCGUGAAUUCAUCUCCGGGGGUAGAGCACUGUUUCGGCAAGGGGGUCAUCCCGACUUACCAACCCGAUGCAAACUGCGAAUACCGGAGAAUGUUAUCACGGGAGACACACGGCGGGUGCUAACGUCCGUCGUGAAGAGGGAAACAACCCAGACCGCCAGCUAAGGUCCCAAAGUCAUGGUUAAGUGGGAAACGAUGUGGGAAGGCCCAGACAGCCAGGAUGUUGGCUUAGAAGCAGCCAUCAUUUAAAGAAAGCGUAAUAGCUCACUGGUCGAGUCGGCCUGCGCGGAAGAUGUAACGGGGCUAAACCAUGCACCGAAGCUGCGGCAGCGACACUAUGUGUUGUUGGGUAGGGGAGCGUUCUGUAAGCCUGUGAAGGUGGCCUGUGAGGGUUGCUGGAGGUAUCAGAAGUGCGAAUGCUGACAUAAGUAACGAUAAAGCGGGUGAAAAGCCCGCUCGCCGGAAGACCAAGGGUUCCUGUCCAACGUUAAUCGGGGCAGGGUGAGUCGACCCCUAAGGCGAGGCCGAAAGGCGUAGUCGAUGGGAAACAGGUUAAUAUUCCUGUACUUGGUGUUACUGCGAAGGGGGGACGGAGAAGGCUAUGUUGGCCGGGCGACGGUUGUCCCGGUUUAAGCGUGUAGGCUGGUUUUCCAGGCAAAUCCGGAAAACCAAGGCUGAGGCGUGAUGACGAGGCACUACGGUGCUGAAGCGACAAAUGCCCUGCUUCCAGGAAAAGCCUCUAAGCAUCAGGUAACAUCAAAUCGUACCCCAAACCGACACAGGUGGUCAGGUAGAGAAUACCAAGGCGCUUGAGAGAACUCGGGUGAAGGAACUAGGCAAAAUGGUGCCGUAACUUCGGGAGAAGGCACGCUGAUAUGUAGGUGAAGCGACUUGCUCGUGGAGCUGAAAUCAGUCGAAGAUACCAGCUGGCUGCAACUGUUUAUUAAAAACACAGCACUGUGCAAACACGAAAGUGGACGUAUACGGUGUGACGCCUGCCCGGUGCCGGAAGGUUAAUUGAUGGGGUUAGCGGUAACGCGAAGCUCUUGAUCGAAGCCCCGGUAAACGGCGGCCGUAACUAUAACGGUCCUAAGGUAGCGAAAUUCCUUGUCGGGUAAGUUCCGACCUGCACGAAUGGCGUAAUGAUGGCCAGGCUGUCUCCACCCGAGACUCAGUGAAAUUGAACUCGCUGUGAAGAUGCAGUGUACCCGCGGCAAGACGGAAAGACCCCGUGAACCUUUACUAUAGCUUGACACUGAACAUUGAGCCUUGAUGUGUAGGAUAGGUGGGAGGCUUUGAAGUGUGGACGCCAGUCUGCAUGGAGCCGACCUUGAAAUACCACCCUUUAAUGUUUGAUGUUCUAACGUUGGCCCGUAAUCCGGGUUGCGGACAGUGUCUGGUGGGUAGUUUGACUGGGGCGGUCUCCUCCUAAAGAGUAACGGAGGAGCACGAAGGUUGGCUAAUCCUGGUCGGACAUCAGGAGGUUAGUGCAAUGGCAUAAGCCAGCUUGACUGCGAGCGUGACGGCGCGAGCAGGUGCGAAAGCAGGUCAUAGUGAUCCGGUGGUUCUGAAUGGAAGGGCCAUCGCUCAACGGAUAAAAGGUACUCCGGGGAUAACAGGCUGAUACCGCCCAAGAGUUCAUAUCGACGGCGGUGUUUGGCACCUCGAUGUCGGCUCAUCACAUCCUGGGGCUGAAGUAGGUCCCAAGGGUAUGGCUGUUCGCCAUUUAAAGUGGUACGCGAGCUGGGUUUAGAACGUCGUGAGACAGUUCGGUCCCUAUCUGCCGUGGGCGCUGGAGAACUGAGGGGGGCUGCUCCUAGUACGAGAGGACCGGAGUGGACGCAUCACUGGUGUUCGGGUUGUCAUGCCAAUGGCACUGCCCGGUAGCUAAAUGCGGAAGAGAUAAGUGCUGAAAGCAUCUAAGCACGAAACUUGCCCCGAGAUGAGUUCUCCCUGACUCCUUGAGAGUCCUGAAGGAACGUUGAAGACGACGACGUUGAUAGGCCGGGUGUGUAAGCGCAGCGAUGCGUUGAGCUAAGCGGUACUAAUGAACCGUGAGGCUUAACCUUACAACGCCGAAG